ensembl:lncRNA
CAGCCAGGCAACCCCACUUUGGUGGGAAGGAAGAAUCAACCGUUCAGGACCGUUGCCUGGCCGUUAUGUAGUCCUACUGGUAUUGAUGAGUGCUGCUAUGAAGAGCUAACGUUAGCUCGAGUGUUAACUUAAAUGUCUAAAAGGUUAAACUCUGUUUCCAGCGGUCCGAGGAGACCGAACACGUCCACACGAUCAACCGCCACCAGCCGAGAGAAGUAAGCUUCUCAGUGAUAAGAUGUCGGCGGCUGACGGAGGUGGUCGUUAUCUUCGAGGGGGCAGCAGAGACGCGGUCCCCGUCCUCCUCUCCGAGGCCCGUCAAGGAUGUGGAGGUGGGCCUGCUGCGAGUCGCUGGAGACCCGCCGGGAAUUAACCCUGCUCACCAGACAACACAAGCGCUGCUAGGAUAUCACAUUUAAAUGUUUAAAUUGGCCGAGCACACAGAGAAACUGAGCAAUGCGCCGUUUGAGGUUCAAGUCUAGCCGUUUUGUAAUCGAAACUUAAACCAGGCCUAUUGCUCAUGCAGGUUUGAAUCGUGAUUCUUCUCACACUGAUCGCGCUAAAACUGAUUCAAACAAGCCAUCUAUAAUUUAAAAAAUCUUGGGCCUAUUUCCAUUUGAUCAAUAUCAAAAUGCAAUGUUCCCCGUGUAGCCCCAUUAAAAAGGGCCACCGUGUCUUCUUUUAUUGGCCUAAACCUUCGUAUGCAAAUAUUGAAGUGAAUCGUGCAGCUAUCAUUAUCCGCGGUCACAUUAAUACAAAGAAGGGGUAGCAUUUAAUCACCUUUAAUUGUGGAGCGAGGGAGUGAGGUUUUGUGUGUUCAUUUCAAUAGCUAUUCCUUUGGUUAAUUAUGAGUAAUUUAAACAUAGACUAGCAUGUAGGCUACUUAAAAUAAAUUGCAC